GGGUGUGUGUAUGUAUGUGUGUCUGGAUUAAACCGUUUAUAACACAGUGUAAACACAGCCAUAUUGACUUCAGAGGUUGGAGGGGUGGAGGAGGAGGUAGAAGCAGCAGGGUUGGAGGGUUGGAGGAAAUAGUAGCAGCAGGGUUGUAGGGUUUUGAGGAGGAGGUAGAAGCAGUAGGUUUGGACAGUUGGAGGAGGUAGAAACAGCAGGGUUGGACGGUUGGAGACGGAGGAAGAAGCAGCAGGGUUGGAGGGUUGGAGGAGGAGGUAGAAGCAGCAGGGUUGGACGGUUGGAGGAGGAGGUAGUAGCAGCAGGGUUGGAGGGUUGGAUGAGGAGGUAGUAGCAGCAGGGUUGGCGGAUGAGGUAGAAGCGGUAGGGUUGGAGGAGGAGGUAGAAGCAGCAGUGUUGGACGGUUGGAGGAGAAGGUAGUAGCAGCAGGGUUGGAGGAGGAGGUAGAAGCAGCAGGGUUGGAGGGUUGGAUGAGGAGGUAGAAGUAGCAGGGUUGGAUGAGGAGGUGGUAGUAGUAGCGGGGUUAGUGUCGGAUGAGGAGGUAGUAGCAGCAGGCUUGGAUGAGGAGGUAGAAGCAGCAGGGUUGGCAGAUGAGGUAGAAGCGGUAGGGUUGGAAGAGAAGGUAGAAGCAGCAGGGUUGGACGGUUGGAGGAGAAGGUAGAAGCAGCAGGGUUGGAGGAGGAGGUAGAAGCAGCAGAGUUGGAGAAGGAGGUAGUAGUGGCAGGGUUGGACGGUUGGAGGAGGAGGUAGUAGCAGCAGGGUUGGACCGUUGGAGGAGGUAGAAGCAGCAGGGUUGGAGGGUUGGAGGAGGUAGAAGCAGCAGGGUUGGACGGUUGGAGGAGGAGGUAGAAGCAGCAGGGUUGGACCGUUGGAGGAGGUAGAAGCAGCAGGUUUGGAGGAGGAGGUAGAAGCAGCAGGG
rnacentral:lncRNA from 1 species